rnacentral:hammerhead_ribozyme from 1 species
AUCUAUCUGAAGAGUCCAAAUAGGAUGAAACGCGCGUCUUGAAU